CCCACUCUUCUCCAUGAUUAAGUCACCUUCCACCAGGCUCCAACUUUAACAUUCCCCAUUACGAUUCCACAUGAGUAUUGGUAGGGACACAGAACCAAAUCAUAUUAUUCUGGCCUUUGGUCCCCAAAUCUUGUAUCCUUGUCACACUGCAAAAUACAAUGAUGACUUCUCUACUGUCCCCCAAUGACUUAACUCAUUCCAGCAUUUACUGAAAAGUCCAAGGACUUACAGACCCCAUGAAGUCAAAAACCCAGCAGGCCAGUCAUUGAAUCCUGCAGCUCCAAAUCAUCUUUUCUGAAUCUACAUCUCACAUCUAGAGCACAGGCAUGUGAUGGCUGGGCUCCCAAGGCCUUGGGCAACUCUGCACCUGUGGAUUUGCAUGAUAUAUCCCCCACAGCUGCCCUCAUGGGCUGGGCUGUGUUGAGUGCCUGUGGCUUUUCCACACUAAGGGUGCCAGCUGUUGGUGCAUCUAUGAAUCUAAGGUCUGGAGAAUGGUGUCUCCAUAUUUAGGGACUCCAACCCCAUUUUCUCCUUCUGUACUGCCCUGGUAAAGGUGUGCCAUGAGGCUCUGCCUCUUGGAAAAGCUUCUGCCUGAACACCCAGGUUUUUCCGUACAUACUCUGGAGUCUAGACACAGGCCCCCAAGCCUCUAGUUUUGUGCUCUGUGCAGCCGCUGGCUUAACACUAUGUGGAAGACACCAAGGCUUGGAACUUGCACCCCUGAAGCAGGGAUGCAAACUCUACCUGUGCAUCUUUCAGCCAUGACUGGAGUUGGAAAUGGAGCUGCAGGGAUGCCGGCAGCAGUGUCCUGAGGCUGCACAUAGAGGGGGCUCAUGGAACUGGCCCAGGAAACGAUGCUUCUCUCCUAGGCCCCAGGGCCUGUGACAGCAAGGGCUGCUGCAAAGGUCUCUGAAAUGCCUUCAAGGUCUUUUCCUUAUUGUCUUGGCUAUUAGCACCGGGCUCCUUUUCGUGCAAAUUCCUGAAGCCUUCUUGAAUUUUCCCACUGAAAAUCGGCUUUUCUUUCUGACCACUUGGCAAGGCUGCAAGUUUUCCAGACUUUUGAGUUCUGUUUCUCAUUUAAUAUAAGAGUUGUGACUCAUUUAAUGUAAGACCCAUCCAGAGGUCAUUUCCUCAGUCACACAAAAGGGCAAGGGCUGUUUCAUGCAGACAGGACACCUCUUGAGCUUUGCUGCCCAGAAGUUCAUUCCACCAGAUACUCACUAAGUCAUCACCCUCAAGUUCAAAGUUUCACAUAUCUCCAGGGCAGGGUCAAUGUGCAGCCACAUUCUUUGCUACAGCAAAACAAAACUAACCUUGGCUCCUAUUCCCAGUAAGUUCCUCAUCUUCAUCUGAGACCUUCUAAGUCUGAUCUUUACUGUCUAUUUUCCUGUGAGCCUUCUGAUCACAAGUAUUUAACAAUUCUUUACAAAGAUCCAAAUUUCCCCUCAAUUUCUUGUCUUGGAAGCCCUCCAAACUCUCCUGAACUCAGUCUGCUACCCUCUUCUGAACCUGUUCCUGCAUUAUCACCUAUCUUUGUCAAAGCCUGGCAAUGUGGUAUGGAAGACAAGUCCAUUUUCAGGGGGAAAAUUCAAGGAGGAUUCAGAGACUUGAAUGAAAAGAAGCUGAGUACUGAUAGCCAAGACAUGGGGGAAAAGGCCUUGAAGACACCUAAUAGAUCUUCUUUGCAUUAAAAAUGCUCUCAAUGAUCAAAAAGAAAAGAAGUUUAAUUGUUAAUGAUUCUGCAGGAUGUAAGGAGGCAUACUAGUUUCUGCAUCUCAGAGGACUCAGGAAGCCUCCCAAUCACACCAGAAUGUCAAGGGGCAAUGAGAUGUCUCAUAUGCCAGGAGCAGGAGCAAGCAUGAGAGAGGAAAAAGGUGUCAUGCCCUAUUAUACAACCAGAUCUCAUGAAAACUCACUAUCAUGAAGACAGCAUCAAGCACAUGCUGCCUAACCAUUGGUGAAGGAAAUGCCUCCCACACCCACCUCCCACUGUUUCCAGGCAGCAGCCUGCUGCAGAUGCAGAGUUCUUGGGAAACCUCUACUAGGGCAGUGCAGAAGGAAAAUAUGGACUUGGAGCCCCCACAUAGGGGGCUACCACCGUCCAGACCCCAGAUUCACAGACCCACCAACAGCUGGCACCCUCAGUGAGGAAAAGCUACAGGCCCUCAAUACCAGUCCCGCGCAUGAGAACAGCUGAGGAGCUAAACCCUGCAAACCACAGGUGCACUGCCCUAGUAGAGGGUUUUCCGUGAGUCCCUCACUCUGCAGCAGGCUGCUCCUCCUUCC
rnacentral:lncRNA from 10 species